UGAGGAAUUUUGCGCAAUGGGAGCAAUCCUGACGCAGCAACGCCGCGUGGGUGACGAAGGCCUUCGGGUCGUAAAGCCCUGUCAGGUGGGAAGAUAAUGACGGUACCCGCAGAAUAAGCCCCGGCUAACUUCGUGCCAGCAGCCGCGGUAAUACGAAGGGGGCUAGCGUUGCUCGGAAUCACUGGGCGUAAAGCGCACGUAGGCGGAUUCUUAAGUCAGAGGUGAAAGCCUGGAGCUCAACUCCAGAACUGCCUUUGAUACUGGGAGUCUCGAGUUCGGGAGAGGUGAGUGGAACUGCGAGUGUAGAGGUGAAAUUCGUAGAUAUUCGCAAGAACACCAGUGGCGAAGGCGGCUCACUGGCCCGAUACUGACGCUGAGGUGCGAAAGCGUGGGGAGCAAACA
rnacentral:rRNA from 1 species